GACGAACGCUGGCGGCGUGCCUAAUACAUGCAAGUUGAGCGAUGAAGCUUGGUGCUUGCACCAAUUUGAAGAGCAGCGAACGGGUGAGUAACGCGUGGGGAAUCUGCCUUUGAGCGGGGGACAACAUUUGGAAACGAAUGCUAAUACCGCAUAACAACUUUAAACAUAAGUUUUAAGUUUGAAAGAUGCAAUUGCAUCACUCAAAGAUGAUCCCGCGUUGUAUUAGCUAGUUGGUGAGGUAAAGGCUCACCAAGGCGAUGAUACAUAGCCGACCUGAGAUGGUGAUCGGCCACAUUGGGACUGAGACACGGCCCAAACUCCUACGGGAGGCAGCAGUAGGGAAUCUUCGGCAAUGGACGAAAGUCUGACCGAGCAACGCCGCGUGAGUGAAGAAGGUUUUCGGAUCGUAAAACUCUGUUGGUAGAGAAGAACGUUGGUGAGAGUGGAAAGCUCAUCAAGUGACGGUAACUACCCAGAAAGGGACGGCUAACUACGUG
rnacentral:rRNA from 1 species